UACGAAGGGGCUAGCGUUGUUCGGAAUUACUGGGCGUAAAGCGUGCGCAGGCGGCUUCUCAAGUCAGGGGUGAAAGCCCAGAGCUCAACUCUGGAAUUGCCUUUGAGACUGAGUGGCUUGAGUACGAGAGAGGUGAGUGGAAUUCCCAGUGUAGAGGUGAAAUUCGUAGAUAUUGGGAAGAACACCGGUGGCGAAGGCGGCUCACUGGCUCGUAACUGACGCUCAUGCACGACAGCGUGGGGAUCAAACAGG
rnacentral:rRNA from 1 species